UUGAGGUGCCUCUCCUCCGGCCGGUCCGUCCUCAUCAGCAGCACCAAAGUCUAAGGGGGAGGAGCUGGAGUAGAGGGGAAAGUGGCUCCUCCUCCACACUGGCCAGGCAGAGAAGAUCAAUAAUCUGUGUGGAGGAGACGCUCGAGAGGAGAGCGGCCUUUCCUCCUGCUGCGGCCGGGAUUUACAAAUUGGGGGCCGAUGCACUGUCUGGCGGCAACAUACAAUGAGUCAGAGUGACUCAUUGUAAUGCCGGCUAUUAUGGCCCUCUUGUCUGUGGCAGGAUAUGGGCCUAUUUUCAAUGGGGGGCCUGGAGCUGCAGCUCCAUCCGCCCCAUUGUUAAUCCGGCCCUGUGUAUGAGGCACGUCCUCCGCCCUGUUGUAUAUUGCCGUCUCCAGUCACUGGGACCUGGCUGAUGAAUCUCCGCGGAUGUCUCUGACGUGCAGUUCCACAGGUUGUCCAAGGCUCACGGCAAAAAAGGCAGCAGAGUCAGCCAAUGUACAGGUGCUUCCAACACUAUAAAGUCCCUUCUGGGAGAACUCAGGUAGAGCACAAAGGAGGAAUGGGAGUCCACAUCCAGAACAGUGAUCCAGUCCCUUCCCCCACCAAACUCCAUCCCCUCUCCAGCUCCAUCCCCCUCUCAAACUUCAUCCCCCCUCAAGCUCCAUCCCCCUCAAACUCCAUCCCUCUCAAGCUCCAUGCCCUCCUCAAACUCCAUACUCCUCUCAAUCUUCAGCCCCCUAUCAACCUCCCUCUCCCCCUCAAACUUCCUCCUUCACUCAAACUCCCUCUUCCCCUCAACCUCCAUCCCCCACUCGAACACCAUCCACCCAUGAAUUGCCCACCCCCUCUCAAUCUGAUCCUCCUUCCCCUAUCCAACCUCUGUCCCCCUUUCAAGCCCUUCCUCAGCUAACCUCCCACCCCCUUUCAAGCCUCAUCCCCCAUCCAACCUCCCACCCCCUUUCAAGCUCCUUCCCCAUUCAACCUCCAUCCCCCUCUCAAGACGAAAUGCAGCCACCACCAGAGGAAGAAGAGUAGGAUAAGUGGGCGGCUCUGGUUGAAAUUAUUACAGACCCAGAGGUUGGAAAUCGAAACAAGGCCAUCCGAAAGGAACUACUUGCCAUGCAGGCAUACAUUCUGGCCCUGCUGGAGAAUGUCCAGAAUUUAUUACAGUUUUUUUUUCAUUUUGUAAAAAUUCAUUAUUAUGUUUGUAUUUUUUUUGUUAUUUCAAAAAGUAAACCUUCAAAACUUA